CCUACGGGUGGCAGCAGUGGGGAAUAUUGGGCAAUGGGCGAAAGCCUGACCCAGCAAUGCCGCGUGAAGGAAGACGGCUUUCGGGUUGUAAACUUCUUUUACAGGGGAAGAGCAGAAGACGGUACCCUGAAAACAAGCCACGGCUAACUACGUGCCAGCAGCCGCGGUAAUACGUAGGUGGCAAGCUUUGUCCGGAUUUACUGGGUGUAAAGGGCGUGUAGCCGGGAAGGCAAGUCAGCUGUGAAAUCCGGAGGCUCAACCUCCGGAUUGCAUUUGAAACUGUUUUUCUUGAGUAGUGGAGAGGCAGGCGGAAUUCGUGGUGUAGCGGUGAAAUGCGUAGAUAUAAGGAGGAACACCGGUGGCGAAGGCGGUCUACUGGACAGCAACUGACGGUGAGGCGCGAAAGCGUGGGGAGCAAACAGGAUUAGAUACCCUGGUAGUC
rnacentral:rRNA from 1 species